rnacentral:rRNA from 1 species
GUGCAGCAGGCGCGAAACUUCACACUGUGCGAAAGCACGAUGAGGGAAUCCCAAGUGCUUGCACGUAAGUGUAAGCUGUUUCUCUGUUUAAAACGCAGAGAGAGUAAGGGCUGGGUAAGACGGGUGCCAGCCGCCGCGGUAAUACCUGCAGCUCAAGUGGUGACCGUUAUUAUUGGGCCUAAAACGUCCGUAGCCGGUUUAAUAAAUGCCUGGGUAAAUCGUGUAGCUUAACUAUACGAAUUCCGGGUAGACUGUUAAACUCGAGACCGGGAGAAGUUAGAGGUACUCCAGGGGUAGGGGUGAAAUCCUGUAAUCCCUGGGGGACCACCGGUGGCGAAGGCGUCCGACUAGAACGGGUCCGACGGUAAGGGACGAAGGCUAGGGGAGCAAGCGGGAUUAGAUACCCGGGUAGU